AGGAUGAACGCUGGCGGUAUGCUUUACACAUGCAAGUCGAACGCAAGUUUUUAACUUGAGUGGCGGACGGGUGAGUAACACGUGAGAAUUCGCCUUUAGGCGGGGAAUAACUAUGGGAAACCAUAGCUAAUGCCCCAUAUGCUCGUAAGAGUGAAAGGAGAAAAUCCACCCAAAGAGAAGCUCGCGGCUGAUUAGCUAGUUGGUAAGGUAAUGGCUUACCAAGGCGACGAUCAGUAGCUGGUUUGAGAGAACGAUCAGCCACACUGGAACUGGGACACGGUCCAGACUCCUACGGGAGGCAGCAGUGGGAAUUUUCCGCAAUGGGCGCAAGCCUGACGGAGCAAUACCGCGUGAGGGAUGACGGCCUUUGGGUUGUAAACCUCUUUUAUCAAGGAGGAAGUUCUGACGUGUACUUGAUGAAUAAGCAUCGGCUAACUCCGUGCCAGCAGCCGC
rnacentral:rRNA from 1 species